AACCGCCUAAGCACUUCGGUGCCGGUAAGGGUGAAAAGGUGCGGUAAGAGCGCACCGCACGACUGGCAACAGUUCGUGGCUAGGUAAACCCCACUCGGAGCAAGACCAAAUAGGGUUCCACAUGGCGCGGCCCGCGUUGGAACCGGGUAGGUUGCUAAAGGCGUCCAGUGAUGGCCGUCGUAGAGGAAUGACUGUCCUCGACAGAACCCGGCUUACAGAUCGACUCUCCAC
rnacentral:RNase_P_RNA from 1 species